UCCAUCAAAUAGUUGUUGCGAUAUCUCACUGUGGACCAAAGUGGUGGAUGGACUAACAUCCCUGGAGCCAUGUCACUAUCAUGGCAAAAGAAAUAGUCAGGGGAUGUCCUACUCAUCCCUCCAUCAGCAGUUUGGGGGACCUUGGGGUGACUGAGGUUCAUGUCAGUGGCAACAUCAUCACCUUAUUAAUGCACCAAUCAAUGCCCUGUAUCAUCCAUCACCAUGGAGAUGCAGCGGUCCAGCGUAGUAAUGUCAUAUCAACUUUGCUGCAUCCACCACACAGCGAAGCAAUGUAGAGAGAAAAUCAAGAAGCUGAAACAGGAUUACAAGAAAAUAAAAGACCACAACAACCAAAGCGGAUCUGAUCGAAAAACAAGCAAGUGGUAUGACGCUAUCCUUGGCCACAGACUGGCAUAUGCUGGUCAUACAGGCAUAAAGGAUUAGGCAGUCAGGCAUGUUGAAGCCAUCGCGAGCAGCACCAGUAGCUGCUGACCACUGGCAGAAGCCUCUGCAGAAGGAAAGAAAAAAAGGGGUGACUCGAGUGCCCUGUGUCUGGUAAAAGAGAUGCUAGAGUCGGAGGAGGAAAACCGCAGGCAAAGCCACGCUCAUGUGCAAAGUCUUGUUGAAAUGCUGAAGGAGUAAAUCCAGACAGAGGCUGAAGAACAUGCCCAGCUACGGGCAGAGGCUGCAGAGGCAAGGCGCCAGCGGGCUGCUUUUCAGGAGGGCCUUCUGACCAUCUUUAAUAGGCUUGUGGCAGGGGCUCAAGGCCCAAGUCACCCUGAAGUGGACUGACCCCUUCAAGGUUUUUUGUUGUUUUGCACAUACUCUGUUGGACAAACUUUGUUGUCUUGUUUUGCAUAUGUCCACAGUUCAAAUAACAUUCAGAUAAAGGUUUGUAAGGAUA